AGAGAGGUGGCCGAGUGGUCGAAGGCGCACGCCUGGAAAGUGUGUAUACCCCAAAAGGGUAUCGAGGGUUCGAAUCCCUUCCUCUCUGCUA
rnacentral:tRNA from 2 species